rnacentral:lncRNA from 1 species
UUUCCAUUGGAUUGAUUUUUUUUUUCUUUGCUUGUCUUUUUUUUGCUCAAGAAGUGACAUGCAGGAGGCUUUGUGAAGCUGUUGGGAAACGGGCAUUUCUUAUUUUCCAAUAACUUGAAUGUUUCCUUUUACAGUUGAAUUAUCUCUACCAGCCAAAUCUGCAGUUAUUCAAACAUAACACUGUACUACAUACACUUUUGGCCACUAAAGGGUCAAAGAUGUUGGCAGCAUGCACACAUGACUUCAAAUUACCCAAGUGGUCAUUGAAGGACUAUUUUUAUCCGUCGACAAAAUGCUUUCCAUAAAACAAUGGAAUUUAGGUGGUCAAACAUUGUAUUCAAUAUAGAACAGAAAUGGGUCCAAAGCUAAUAUUUAGGUUAAGGAUUUAAACCGAGUUAUCAAUUGUUGUAGUCAGCCUAUAUAUUCAGAAACGUACAAACCCAUCCAAGUCUACAUUUUGGUUACACUUUCAUGAAACUAGAUAUGUUUUGAAAAAAUACACUGAAGUGGUGUCAAGACUAGGCUACAUUAAGAUCUACCUAUACAAGGUUGGCAAUUGUGAUGGAUUUCAUACCUCUGAUGCAAGUCAAUGCAACACAAUUACAGUGCAGUUUACCCACCAGUUUGGUAACACCCUUUAUUCCCUACUGGCACUUAGUAUGAACAACAAUCAGUUAAAGAUACUUCUCUUACAAGAACAUAUGAACCCCUUAUCUGUGAAGUUUACAUUUUUAUUUACUGUAGUCUUCAUUUUUACUCAGUCAUUUGUUACUUUAAAAUGUCAAAAAUGUAGGCUAACAGUUUUAUUUGUAUUUAUUUAUAAUUGUUUACUGUGUAUUGGUGUGCUUGAUUAUGUUUGGUAAUAGGUGGAGGCUCUGCGAUCGGAUUGGUUCAUAAACACUCCAACCAGGACGUUGAAGGAAAUGAAUGAGCCAGUUGAUUGGAUGCACCGCUUGUUAAUAUCAAAGGUUAACCCUACAGUCAAUACCCUCUCCUGUCUGGAUUAACACCCAAAAUAACAUUUAUUUUCAAGAAACUUUUUUUUUUUAAUAUAUAGUUCGUGUAAAUAAUUGUACAUGCUGUGCUCAUAGAAAUGCAUGUUUGUUCUCUGCUUACUCCCAUGCUGAUAUAAACAUGUAAUAUUUGUUUGUAUAGCAGUUUAUCAAUAUUUGGAGAGGGAGGCAGAGUACAGGGUGGAGGAACAGCCAUCUUUGUCUCUUGGGAGAAGGCAUUUUUCCUUUUUUGGGGUUUGCUGAGCAGAGUUCUGUAAAUUGUCUGUAUAUGUGAGUUGUGGUGUUUUGAAAUGAGACGGUAAUAAGAAACAUGCAUUUUUAACCCAGUUAAGCGAUUGUAAAAUGUACUUAAUGGUUACCACGUCAAAGAAAAUAAAUGUGGGUCGGCUCUUUUA